rnacentral:rRNA from 1 species
CCUACGUGUGGCAGCAGUGAGGAAUAUUGGUCAAUGGGCGCGAGCCUGAACCAGCCAAGUAGCGUGAAGGAUGACUGCCCUACGGGUUGUAAACUUCUUUUAUAAAGGAAUAAAGUGAGGCACAUGUGCCUUUUUGUAUGUACUUUAUGAAUAAGGAUCGGCUAACUCCGUGCCAGCAGCCGCGGUAAUACGGAGGAGCCGAGCGUUAUCCGGAUUUAUUGGGUUUAAAGGGAGCGUAGAUGGGUUGUUAAGUCAGUUGUGAAAGUUUGCGGCUCAACCGUAAAAUUGCAAUUGAUACUGGCAGUCUUGAGUACAGUUGAGGUAGGCGGAAUUCGUGGUGUAGCGGUGAAAUGCUUAGAUAUCACGAAGAACUCCGAUUGCGAAGGCAGCUUACUAAACUGCCACUGACAUUGAUGCUCGAAAGUGUGGGUAUCAAACAGGAUUAGAUACCCUUGUAGUC